rnacentral:rRNA from 1 species
AAUGAACGUUGGCGGCGUGGAUUAGGCAUGCAAGUCGAGCGUGAUAGGUUUGGUGCUUGCAUUAAACCUUGAAAGCGGCGAAAGGGACAGUAACGCGUAGAUACCUACCUCCAGGUCCGGGAUAGCGGCGGGAAACUGCCGGUAAUACCGGAUAAUGUCUUCGGACCAAAGGUGUGAUUCCGCUUGGAGACGGAUCUGCGUCCUAUUAGCUAGUUGGUGGGGUAAUGGCCCACCAAGGCGAUGAUGGGUAGCGGGCGUGAGAGCGUGGCCCGCGUCACUGGGACUGAGACACUGCCCAGACACCUACGGGUGGCUGCAGUCGAGAAUCUUCGGCAAUGGGCGCAAGCCUGACCGAGCGACGCCGCGUGCGGGAUGAAGGCCUUCGUGUUGUAAACCGCUGUCGGAGAGGCGGAAAUCUCUAGGGGUUCUCCCCUAGAGUUGACCUAAUCUCGGAGGAAGUCCGGGCUAACUCCGUGCCAGCAGCCGCCGUAAGAC